CUAAAAUCAAUCUCUUUCAUUUUUCCAUUCUCCUUAAAUAGAUUAAAAGACAAUGUACAGUAUGAGUUGAAGGACUUGGUAAAAAUAAACUCUUCUUUGAAUUGAGUGGCAGUUUAGAGUACAUAAGUUUAAAAGAGCACCACUAUAUAAGGCCUGGGGCAAGAGAGCCAAGAUUCCCUGGGCUCAACAUGUUCCUUACCACUCUUCCAGUUUUAGCUCAUGGAGUGCCUUUCGAUCCUUCUGUUUUCUUUCCUGAACAGUCUCACCAGAGUACUUCUGAAAUGCCAUCAGCAGGCCUCCUACAGGAGUGCUGAGAAGAAAGGAGAGGGAAAGCUUAGGAAAAACGAGUCAUUAGACCUUGCAACAUGUGAGAUUCUCUGCUAAGGUGUGAGCAACACCAGAGCCACUUGUUCACUAUUAGGUACAGGAACAUUUGAGAAUUAAAGUGUCCUUGUCAAAUAAAGAAAAACAUUGAGGUAAUCUCUUCCUUGGUCUGAACAACAGACAAAAACAAUCACUACAACCUCCUAAAGUUAACUGAUAUAUAAUAAAACAACAGAUCUAGAAACUGGCUGUUUUUAUGAGGAAUGAGAAAUAAAUCAAAACAAAGAGGAAAAAUAUAUAUAUUUAUGACAAGUUCUAGUAAGUAGCCCCACACCAAAGAUUUCUCAAAAAUGAAAUUUCUAGUUCAGAAUGGCACCAGCUCCUCUAGGAGACAGGAAAUGUGGAGGGCAUUUCUGGUUGAGGGAGGGAUGCUACUGGCUUUUGGGGGUGGGACCACCAAAAUAUCCUGAAGUUCAAGAGUCUGGCGUAACUGUCUCACCCACAAUGCCAAUAGCAACCCAUUGAGAAACUGAUUUAGAUAAUAAUUAUUAUAGUGAUGAAGAGAGUUUGGUUCUUGUGUUCUCAGACUAGAAGUAUUUGACCUUCAUACACCUUAAAUUUCCUCCAGCUACAAUUUAAGUAACCUCAUACUAAUAACUAUUUUUGCUAAGUGGAAGCAACAUAAAUGUUCACUGACAGAUGGUUAAAGAAAAUGUAACAUACACAUACAAUGGAGUAUUAUGCAGCCUUAAAAAAGAGGGCAAUCCGUUCAACAGGUUACAACAUAGAUAAACUUCAAGGACAUUAUUAUGCUAAGUAAAUAAGCUAGUCACAAAAGGAC
rnacentral:lncRNA from 1 species